GUGGUCACCUUGGCAGCACAUAUACUAAAAUUAGAACAAUACAGAAAAUAUCAGCAUGACACCUGCUCAGUGACGAUGCAUGACUUCAUAAACUGGUCUAUAUUUUC